UACAGGGUGCUAACAAUGAGGUGAGAAAUGUACACGGAGAGGGUAAAUCAAAUGGCCACGAAACGCGGGGAAGCAGAACACUAAUCACGCUUCUUUCUCUUGAUCUUGGAAAGGGAUGCAUUUAAACGUAUUAAAUGAACAAGGAGACAGAAAAUAAGGAGGAUUCAAAACGUGGCGAAGUGGAGCCCCUUUAAUUUUCCUUCCCGUUGGGCGUGAAGGUGCAAUUUCCAGAAAAUAUAAGCAAUCCGAAUUACACUGAUGCAUAAAAAUGAAGGUUGCGGUGUGAUGUGUGGCUUAUUUUACUAAUUCCUUUUCAUCAGCAUCUACUAUUAAGCGGCACUUCUCUUUUGUCAUCACUUAGGAAUAAAACUCGAGCAGCUUUUAGGGAUCCUCAAGGUGAGCUACUGUUUUGAAGUUACUCAGUUUUCAUAGUAAUUUGCCACCUGUGGCAUCUAUGGUUUUACUUCUAACAGUUAUCUAUUGUUCACAGCAUAAAUCGAUGUUAUCGUGUAUCUAUGGGGUUCUCUUUUAACUAUCUAUUGUCCAGUGUAUAAAUUGACAUCAUGCAUCUGCGGUUAUUUCUAUUGCCUUUAACGUUUAUCUAUGACAUGAACAAUGAAUAAAGUUGACAUCUCGUCACCAUUUUAUAAUUUAGGUGUUUUACUUGCGUCUUUGUGCAUGUUUUACUUAAUUUAAAUCCAUUUUUUAAUUAAUUGUGUAACUAAUACCAUUUUUUGUCCAUCUCUCCAGAUCGUCUGACAAAUGGGAGAGAAUUAAAGUUCAGGUUGAUGACUACAAUGUUUGGUGGACUACAUUCUUGAUUUGCUGUUUUCGUCUUCACCUUGCAACAUUAUACAGUCAAUUUUCAAGUGAUGAGUGAGAGCAACUGAAGAUUUAUGUGAAUUCCACUGAAAUAAGAAAUUUUCUGCAUUGGAAUUCCUCUUGGAUUUGAUUUGCUUUGCUUUUCACACCUGCAAACUUUGGAACAUUAUGGUCUACAGUUAAUUAAGAUCGACGUUGGAGAAGACAAAGAUGACCCCUUGGUUAAAACAGUUCUCUAUCUUGCAUGCUAUAUGUAAUAGAAUUCAAGUUCAUUUUAUUCAAAUUAGUUUUUUUAUUAUGCAUGUUUUUUUGUAGUUUAUUUAAAUUAGUUUUUA